rnacentral:tmRNA from 1 species
GGGGCUGAUUCUGGAUUCGACGGGAUUUGCGAAACCCAAGGUGCAUGCCGAGGGGCGGUUGGCCUCGUAAAAAGCCGCAAAAAAUAGUCGCAAACGACGAAAACUACGCUUUAGCAGCUUAAUAACCUGCUUAGAGCCCUCUCUCUCCCUAGCCUCCGCUCUUAGGACGGGGAUCAAGAGAGGUCAAACCCAAAAGAGAUCGCGUGGAAGCCCUGCCUGGGGUUGAAGCGUUAAAACUUAAUCAGGCUAGUUUGUUAGUGGCGUGUCCGUCCGCAGCUGGCAAGCGAAUGUAAAGACUGACUAAGCAUGUAGUACCGAGGAUGUAGGAAUUUCGGACGCGGGUUCAACUCCCGCCAGCUCCACCA